UUUAUGGAGAGUUUGAUCCUGGCUCAGGAUGAACGCUGGCGGCGUGCCUAAUACAUGCAAGUCGAGCGAACGGACGAGAAGCUUGCUUCUCUGAUGUUAGCGGCGGACGGGUGAGUAACACGUGGAUAACCUACCUAUAAGACUGGGAUAACUUCGGGAAACCGUAGCU
rnacentral:rRNA from 1 species